AUAUCACACGUUUUUUUAGAAACUUUACCACCUUAUACCUUUAUUUUUUGUUGAAAUUCUUUUACUCGUUUUAAAUAUAUUUUAUUAUUACAGUUCUUGAAGGCCUGCAAACGUGACGUAUUUCACGUAUUAAAUAGAUAUUAUAUCUAUAUAAAAUAUAAGUUAGUGAAAACAAAUUUAAUUCGAGUAUGUAAUGUCAAGGGAUUCCUCCUGCAGGUGCUAUCGUGCACCUGACCAGAUUGUAGUGAUAGAUAGAUAGAUAGAUAGAUAGAUAGAUAGAUAGAUAGAUAGAUAGAUAGAUAGAUAGAUAGAUAGAUAGAUAGAUAGAUAGAUAGAUAGAUAGAUAGAUAGAUAGAUAGAUAGAUAGAUAGAUAGAUAGAUAAAGCUAGAUUUGUAGAUUUGUCCUGUAGGAGAGAUCAAAACGGGAGAGGCCGAUGACCAGUGCUACUUUUACUAAUAGUCAUUUCUGCACACAUCUACCUUUGUGCAUUUCAUAAUUGUUAAUCAGAUGUCUACUUUUUUCUAGGUGCAGACUGGCCCUCACUUGUGUGUAUGUGUGUUUGUGUCUGCCUGUCUUCCUAGAUAUGUUUGGGUUAAUUUCAAGCCCUCUUUCUCUUUUCCUUACUGAUCCUGUGAAUGUCACUGACCACUGAGAGGCUGAACACAUUUUAUAAGGUAGUGGUGACCAUGUUAACUUGUUUCACUAUGUGUUCUGUCUUUAAACAGUGGCUGCAAAUUGAUUAUCUCCUCAAAAAUAGUUGGAGGAUACUGAUCUACUGUAACCUCGCUCAGAUUUCCCACACACAUUCUGAUGUUCUUCUGAGAGAAAUCAAGCUCAUCCAUAAUCAAGACACUGCAGUAUUUAUACCCUGGGUCUUCACUCCAGUCUUUGCCAGAUUGUUCAACUCGUCUCUGGACGUUUCCUGCCUGCCUGCCUCGCUCUUUGUCCACCUUGCCACACUCUCAGCCUCACCUAGAUGGAACCCUGAAAUCCAUGUGUCUUCGUCUACCCCUGCUCUGCUCACCCCAUGCCAGCUACCUCAGUCAUCUCACAGAAUAAAACAAAAUAAAACUGUGUUCACUUCCAACAAACUCCCUUUCUGAGUCUGGAUUUGGGUCCAGCUUUGUCGGAGUAGCAUAACAAUUACAUUAUAUAAUCAGUAUAAUCAUUGUUGGAGCUAGUACAACCAAUAUUAGCUAGUACAACCAAUAUUAGAUUAGAUUCAACUUUAUUGUCAUUACACAUGUAAAAGGCAACUAAAUGCAGUUUAGGUCGAACCAGAAGUGCAAUAAGCAA